UCAAAACAGUUGUAAUAAAAUUAAGACUGCAAAUAUGAGAGUUUGUGGGUUGUUUUUUCUUUGUUUCUAUAUUGUUUUAGUGGGUGCUGUUCUUGCUAGAAAUUUGGAAGAUGAAGAGAAAGAAGAGAAAUUUCUGUUCGGCAAGGGAGGUUGGUUUGGUCCCAAAUUUGGCCCAGGUCGUGGUUGGUUCCCGGGUGGCGGUUUUUUCCCUCCUGGUGGCGGUUUGUUCCCUCCUGGUGGCCUGCUCCCUGGUGGCGGUCUUGGCCCUCGUGCUGAUGGUUUGUUUCCUGGUGGACGUCAAUGAUUCUCUUGUGGCAGGAUUUAAAACAUCCAAGAAUCAGCAUAUGUAAAAUCAGCAUACAAAUAAUACAAAUAAUUUCAAACCGUUUAUUAUAAUUAUUUGUACCUGUG
rnacentral:lncRNA from 1 species